rnacentral:rRNA from 1 species
CAGUAGCCGCGGUAAAACGAAGGGUGCAAGCGUUACUCGGAAUUACUGGGCGUAAAGCGUGCGUAGGUGGUGGUUUAAGUCCGUUGUGAAAGCCCUGGGCUCAACCUGGGAAUUGCAGUGGAUACUGGGUCACUAGAGUGUGGUAGAGGAUAGUGGAAUUUCCGGUGUAGCAGUGAAAUGCGUAGAGAUCGGAAGGAACAUCUGUGGCGAAGGCGACUAUCUGGGCCAACACCGACACUGAGGCACGAAAGCGUGGGGAGCAAACAGGAUUAGAUACCCCCGUAGUCCCUGUCUCUUAUAC